UACGUAGGGUGCGAGCGUUGUUCGGAAUCAUUGGGCGUAAAGCGCGUGUAGGCGGCUAACUAAGUCUGGUGUGAAAUCCCGGGGCUUAACCCCGGAAGUGCAUUGGAUACUGGUUGGCUAGAGGGCGAGAGAGGGUGGUGGAAUUCCUGGUGUAGGGGUGAAAUCCGUAGAUAUCAGGAGGAACACCGGUAGCGAAGGCGGCCACCUGGCUCGUUUCUGACGCUCAGACGCGAAAGCGUGGGGAGCAAACAGG
rnacentral:rRNA from 1 species